rnacentral:tRNA from 1 species
GCGCUCGUAGCUCAGGGGAUAGAGCGGAUGCCUCCGGAGCAUCAGGUCGGGGGUUCGAGACCCUCCGAGCGCG